rnacentral:rRNA from 1 species
UACGUAGGGACCAAGCGUUGUUCGGAUUACUGGCGUAAGGGCGCGAGUAGGCGGCGGUGUUAAGUCAGCUGUGAAAUCUCCAAGCUUAACUUGGAACGGUCAGCUGAUACUGAUGUGCUAGAGUGCAGAAGGGGCAAUCGGAAUUCUUGGUGUAGCGGUGAAAUGCGUAGAGAUCGGGAAGAACAUCGGUGGCGAAAGCGCUCUGCUGGACUGCAACUGACACUGAGGGACGAAAGCUAGGGGAGCGAAUGGG